AUUGAACGCUGGCGGCAGGCUUAACACAUGCAAGUCGAACGGUAGCAGGUAAGUACUUGUACUUAUGCUGACGAGUGGCGGACGGGUGAGUAAUGCUUGGGGAUCUGGCUUAUGGAGGGGGAUAACGACGGGAAACUGUCGCUAAUACCGCGUAGAAUCGAGAGAUGAAAGUGUGGGACCUUCGGGCCACCUGCCAUAGGAUGAACCCAAGUGGGAUUAGGUAGUUGGUGGGGUAAUGGCCUACCAAGCCGACGAUCUCUAGCUGGCCUGAGAGGAUGACCAGCCACACCGGGACUGAGACACGGCCCGGACUCCUACGGGAGGCAGCAGUGGGGAAUAUUGCGCAAUGGGGGCAACCCUGACGCAGCCAUGCCGCGUGAAUGAAGAAGGCCUUCGGGUUGUAAAGUUCUUUCGGUGACGAGGAAGGUUGUUGUGUGAAUAGCGCAACAAAAUGAC
rnacentral:rRNA from 1 species